CCCAGACUCCUACGGGAGGCAGCAGUGGGGGAUAUUGCACAAUGGGGGGAACCCUGAUGCAGCGACGCCGCGUGGGUGAAGGAGCGUUUCGGCGCGUAAAGCCCUAUCGGCAGGGAAGAAGGAGGACGGUACCUGACUAAGAAGCCCCGGCUAACUACGUGCCAGCAGCCGCGGUAAUACGUAGGGGGCAAGCGUUAUCCGGAUUUACUGGGUGUAAAGGGGGCGCAGACGGCAGCGCAAGCCAGGAGUGAAAGCCCGGGGCCCAACCCCGGGACUGCUCUUGGAACUGCGCGGCUGGAGUGCAGGAGGGGCAGGCGGAAUUCCUGGUGUAGCGGUGAAAUGCGUAGAUAUCAGGAGGAACACCGGUGGCGAAGGCGGCCUGCUGGACUGCGACUGACGUUGAGGCCCGAAAGCGUGGGGAGCAAACAGGAUUAGAUACCCCCGUACCG
rnacentral:rRNA from 1 species